CAAUAGCGUAUAUUAAAGUUGUUGCAGUUAAAAAGCUCGUAGUUGGAUUUGUGGCUGUCACGGGCGGCCUAUCACUUAGUGUUAGUGCUUGCCUGUGUCGCCAUCCUUGGGUGGAGCCCGUGUGGCAUUAGGUUGUCGUGCGGGGGAUGCCCAUCGUUUACUGUGAGAAAAUUAGAGUGUUCAAAGCAGGCUUAUGCCGUUGAAUAUGUUAGCAUGGAAUAAUAAGAUAGGACCUCGGUACUAUUUUGUUGGUUUGCGCACCGAGGUAAUGAUUAAUAGGGACAGUUGGGGGUAUUCGUAUUUCAUUGUCAGAGGUGAAAUUCUUGGAUUUCUGAAAGACGAACUACUGCGAAAGCAAUUACCAAGGAUGUUUUCAUUAA
rnacentral:rRNA from 1 species